rnacentral:rRNA from 1 species
CAUGGCUGUCGUCAGCUCGUGUCGUGAGAUGUUGGGUUAAGUACCGCAACGAGCGCAAGCCUCGCCAUUAGUUGCCAUCAUUUAGUUGGGAACUCUAAUGGGACUGCCGGUGCUAAGCCGGAGGAAGGUGGGGAUGACGUCAAGUCCUCAUGGCCCUUACAGGGUGGGCUACACACGUGCUACAAUGGCGACUACAGAGGGUUAAUCCUUAAAAGUCGUCUCAGUUCGGAUUGUCCUCUGCAACUCGAGGGCAUGAAGUUGGAAUCGCUAGUAAUCGCGGAUCAGCAUGCNGCGGUGAAUACGUUCCCGGGCCUUGUACACACCGCCCGUCACACCAUGGGAGUUGGUUCUACCCGAAGGCGGUGCGCUAACCAGCAAUGGAGGCAGCCGACCACGGUAGGGUCAGCGACUGGGGUG